GACGAACGCUGGCGGCGUGCUUAACACAUGCAUGUCGAACGAUGAAGCUAGAGCUUGCUCUGGUGAAUUAGUGGCGAACGGGUGAGUAACACGUGAGUAACCUGCCCCGAACUCUGGGAUAACUGCUGGAAACGGUAGCUAAUACUGGAUACGACCUACGAAGGCAUCUUCUGUAGGUGGAAAGAAUCUCGGUUCGGGAUGGACUCGCGGCCUAUCAGCUUGUUGGUGAGGUAAUGGCUCACCAAGGCGACGACGGGUAGCCGGCCUGAGAGGGUGACCGGCCACACUGGGACUGAGACACGGCCCAGACUCCUACGGGAGGCAGCAGUGGGGAAUAUUGCACAAUGGGCGCAAGCCUGAUGCAGCAACGCCGCGUGAGGGAUGACGGCCUUCGGGUUGUAAACCUCUUUUAGUAGGGAAGAAGCGAAAGUGACGGUACCUGCAGAAAAAGCACCGGCUAACUACGUGCCAGCAGCCGCGGUAA
rnacentral:rRNA from 1 species